AUUGAACGCUGGCGGCAGGCCUAACACAUGCAAGUCGAGCGGAGCGGCGGACGGGUGAGUAAUGCAUAGGAAUCUGCCUGGUAGUGGGGGAUAACGUCCGGAAACGGGCGCUAAUACCGCAUACUAUCAGAUUAGCCUAGGUCAGAUUAGCUAGUGGGUGGGGUAAAGGCCCACCAAGGCGACGAUCCGUAACUGGUCUGAGAGGAUGAUCAGUACAACGGGAACUGAGACACGUCCCAGCCGCCUACGGGAGGCAGCAGUGGGGAAUAUUGGACAUGGGGCGAAGGCCUAAUCCGGCCAUGCCGCGUGUGUGAAAAAGGUCUUCGGAUUUUAAGGCACUUUAAGUUGGGAGGCGUUACCAACAGAAUAAGCACCGGCUAACUUCGUGCCAGCAGCCGCGGUAAUUC
rnacentral:rRNA from 1 species